rnacentral:tRNA from 1 species
AGUACUGCGCCGGAUGAACGGGAAUCAUUGAUGUUGGUUAUUAUGAGAUACUUAUUCAUCUCCAGUACUA